rnacentral:pre_miRNA from 1 species
CUAGUACUCCCUCCGUUCGGAAUUACUUGUCGCGGAAAUGGAUGUAUUUAGACGUAUUUUAGUUCUAGAUACAUCCAUUUCCGAGACAAGUAAUUCCGAACGGAGGGAGUACCUA